CGGGACACGAAAUAUCUAGAAAAGUGGGAUCCAUUCUGGUAACCAAAUUGAGUCAGUGUUUGAUGGACUUAGCAAUUUGACAUGUUCCUGGCGGUGCUUUAAAGGCAGCCCUGUCCCUUGGCUAACACUAUGGUCACUUGCUUUUUAUAUAUAUUCUCCACCUCUAUGUAUAUUCGUCAUCAUUUUCUUUCCGGUCUAUAAAUAUACACGGUGUUUUCAGUUUACAAGGGCAUUCCAAAUAUAUAAAGAAAAGAUCGAGAGGACGAAUGUUUGCCUUGGGGGCUUGCAUGAAGAGGUAGAGAGUGUGAUUCAGCCAAGGAUGACUUGCCGGCAGCAGGUAAGAGCAAAGCUCCGUUUUUGGAAGUUCAAGGAUAUCUUUACUUUUCCGGCCGGCAAGCUGUCCUUGGCUACAUUGUACUCUCUUCUUCUCAUGCAAGAACUACUUGGUAACAAGAGCAAGAAUAAGCUAGUCCAAAUUAAUGCUUGGCUCGAAGAGUAUUAUCAAGGCGCGUAUACAUGCAGUUUUAUUAUUAUUAUUUAAAUAAUGCUAGAUAUACACACAGAAACACAUAAACUACUACUGGUAUUUUUUUUUCUUAAUUAAAAGAAGCCCAAAAGUGCAUUCUAGAGAGGACAGGGAAAGAAAUCCAGCACCGAAAUCAAAUCAUGAUCAAAAAGUGCGAAGGCUAUAACAAUUAUGCAAUGCUCAAGGUCAAGGUGCCCACAUGUGUAUGAUGACAUUGCUUUAAUGGCAGGGAACGAGAGAAAACAUGUGUGGUUUAAAUUUACGGCCAAUGGGGCCAACCCUGGAAAAAUAAUUGCAACUAUGUAAGUACGAAUUUUAUUUUUAAGUCUAUGAUGCAUUUGAAAUUAGAUCUAAAAGAGGUUGUUUUAAUUAUUUUUUUAAUCCUUCUUUGUUCUUGCUUCUUCUCCAUUUGAAAUGAGAUUGAAUGAUAUGGUGUGGAACUAGAGUGCUGCUCCCUGCCACUACCCAGAAUCAACCAUGGCUUCCCAGCUUGAAAUCAACCCUCGACACUUGGAACAAACCAGCACAUAACAACCCUAAAAUCAGCCACAACAACAACCAAUUCAAGCCAGACCCCCGAGCAAGAUAGUAACAUCAAACCACAAAAAGAAAUUGCAGCUAAUGCUUAGUCAUUUUGAAGAACAGUAAUGCUUUGACCAUAUCCUUUGCACAGAGCUAGUCCAUAUAAAUCUCCCCUGUAACCUUGUAAGAGCUUAGAGUCAGCUCUUACUUCCCUUCGCAACCCAUUCUUUCCUUUUCUAAUAUCUUCUGUAGUGAUUCAAAAAUCAAUAGAUUUUUAUCAUCUUGCUUCAA